rnacentral:rRNA from 1 species
AAUUAGCAAAACUUUCAACAACGGAUCUCUUGGCUCUGGCAUCGAUGAAGAACGCAGCGAAAUGCGAUACGUAAUGCGAAUUGCAGAAUUCAGCGAGUCAUCGAAUCUUUGAACGCACAUUGCGCCCGCCAGCAUUCUGGCGGGCAUGCCUGUCCGAG